GGAAGCGUAUGCGUCCCGGUGGGCGCCGCAGUCUUCAAAACUGUUGACCCGCAGUAGAGCGGGGGGUCGGUUCGACUCCGACACGUUUCCG
rnacentral:tRNA from 1 species